AUUGAACGCUGGCGGCAGGCCUAACACAUGCAAGUCGAACGAGUGGCGGACGGGUGAGUAAUGUCUGGGACACUGCCUGAUGGAGGGGGAUAACUACUGGAAACGGUAGCUAAUACCGCAUACCAUCAUAUGUGCCCAUGUGGGAUUAGCUUGUGGUGGGGGUAACGGCUCACCAAGGCGACGAUCCCUAGCUGGUCUGAGAGGAUGACAAGCAGAACUGGAAAUGAGACACGGUCCAGACACCUACGGGAGGCAGCAGUGGGGAAUAUUGCACAAUGGGCGCAAGCAUGAUGAAGACAUGACGCGUGUAUGAAGAAGGCCUUCGGGUUGUAAAGUACUGUCAGCGGGGAGGAGUUACCAGCAGAAGAAGCACCGGCUAACUCCGUGCCAGCCGCCGCGGUAAUAC
rnacentral:rRNA from 1 species